CCACGCGACAUGUGCUGCUAAUUAACUUUCUUCUCUCUCAUAUCAUCAGUAAUGGACAGUAUUGUUUUAGAAAGCGAAGUUAAGUUUAACUACAUUCAUAUUGUUCGUUCAUCGUUGUUAAUUUUUUUAAUGAAUUAUAAUUAUUAAUUUAUCAGCGGAUAGCGUCGACAGAACGGCUGAUGAUUGAAUCACUCUUUUGAAUCAGUUCAUUUCAAUCAGUUCAUCAUACGGCAAGCAUCAUAGUAAACGGUCUGACUCGGUUUGCGAUUCGUUUUUAAUAAUUCAGACAGCUCUCAAACUCAUACUCAGAAUUGUUUGCAGCGGUUUAAAACGCCAAAAAGAACAGGAUUCAUGCAACAAAACGAGCAGUUGAAUGAAGCGGAAUCUUUAAAAUGGAAAAUGCAAUCGUAUCCUGUCGUUUGCGACGAAGAUGGCCUACACGUGCAGCAUACCAACACCUCAGUACAACAGGUUGCACUGGCUGGAGAAAUCCAUACUGUCUGUAUUUGCUGAUACAGAUGAGGAUCCUUGAAGUAAAAUUUGAUCUGAAUUUGAUCCGAAACUUAUGAAGAUUUACAGGACAAUCCUGCUGCCUACGCCGAUAGUUUUAAUGUCAUUGUGCCCUUGAACUCCAAGCUGAACUUCCGUUUCCUCAAGGUACAACUGUUGGCGUUGGCGUUGUGUUCGGACCUCUCUGGCAGUGUGUGGCUGUGCGUGUUCAGGUAGAAUUCCUCAGAUUAUGCGAAUCAAACCUCAUUGACCGUGAAUAAAUAGGUGACAAUACUUUGUUUAAGGUUUAAAUACUCCCAUUUGAUUAGAUGAUUCAUCCAUGUAAAAUUACUGUAAUGAUGGGGCAGGGUCAGAGGGAAUUUUCUGGAAUUAUAAUUGUUUAAUUCCUGCAUCGGGUCAAUCUGAGAUUUGUUCAAAAAGCAGAGGGCUCUGGUUUAAAGCAUCUGUUACCAACACUUGGAUUAAGGUAUUAUUCUCAAAUCAGUGCUUGUGGCCUCAUUAGUAGAUCAGGUAAGGUGUUGAAGCUUGCCCUUUGCUUUGAAUAACACUUUACUCCUGGGAGGCAUGAACUUAUUGCUCUGUGAAGUGCUUCACUCACAAUAAUUAAGAAAAGAUCAUUCAGUUUAUAUUGGAUACAUAAUGAGCAACGUUCACUGUUAGAAAUAUUGUCUUGUCUGAUUAAUUGUGAGCACACUGUUAAUUAAAUAAAGCAAAGAAAUGUACUCUGCAUAGGAUUUAGAAUUUUCUGGGUUACAGUCACAUACGAGUCAACCUGACCUAAAAAUUUAAAAUACUAGUGAUAUAUAAGAUUGAACUUGUUCAUGUACGUGCAUUUUACGUGUUCACACAAAUUAUAAUAAGACAUCUGGACACAGAUGUGAAAAUAUAGGUCUAAGGUAAUGGGAAAAAAUCUGUGUACAGAAAGCAGUGCAUUUAUUUGUCUUUUUUUUUUUUUUUUUUUUGUGUAAAUGAACAUUUUUUUUUGUUUCAAGGCUUGUGCUAGUCAGCUAUGUGUUCCUAUUGCUUUUACUCUUGUUACUCUGCUGUUACUAAGCAACCAUCUGCAAGAGAGCUACUGUCACUAGACGUGAAUCUUAAUAGUGUUUAUUAUAGAACUUUUUUUUUUUUUUUUUCAAGGUCGUAAAUAAGCAUUUACAUUUCUGCAUUUUUAAAGUGUGAACAAAAGUUCUUGGCAGGAGGGCCAGAACUAAAAGAGGAAGUGUGUAAAGAAGAACUGUAAGAGGCAGAAAUACACAGCUCAGUAAUGUAGUCAGCCGCAAUGUUAGGCAACCCAUGUGCAGUGUUGGAUAAUUACUUCAAAAGAGUAAUUAAUUACUAAUUACAUCAUCAAUGUUGUAUUUAAAAUACUUUUCUAAUUACUCUGUCUGAAAAGUAAUUUAAUUACUCAAUAAGUAAUUCAACUAAUUACUUCUUAAAAUCCCUAUAAACCUUGAUUGGAUAGACUAUAGAAAGGAAACAGUACAACCAAAAGUGCACAAUACUCGAUACCAAGGUAAA